rnacentral:rRNA from 1 species
AAUUCGAUUUUGGAGGGCAAGUCUGGUGCCAGCAGCCACGGUAAUUCCAGCUCCAAUAGCGUAUAUUAAAGUUGUUGCAGUUAAAAAGCUCGUAGUUGAAUUUCAGGAUCAAUAUGUUGGUCGUGCCUUUGGUACGUACUGGUAUUAUUGGUUUCUCCUUUCUGAUGAAUCACGAUGUCAUUAAUUUGGUGUCAUGGGGAUUCAGGACUGUUACUUUGAAAAAAUUAGAGUGUUUAAAGCAGGCUUACACUUGAAUACAUUAGCAUGGAAUAAUGAAAUAGGACGUUUAAUUCUAUUUUGUUGGUUUCUAGGAUUGACGUAAUGAUUAAUAGGGAUAGUUGGGGGCAUUAGUAUUCAAUUGUCAGAGGUGAAAUUCUUGGAUUUAUUGAAGACUAACUACUGCGAAAGCAUUUGCCAAGGAUGUUUUCAUUAAUCAAGAACGAAAGUUAGGGGAUCGAAGACGAUCAGAUACCGUCGUAGUCUUAACCAUAAACUAUGCCGACUAGGGAUCGGAUGAUGUUAAUUUUUUAAUGACUCAUUCGGCGCCUUACGGGAAACAAUCACUAGUG